rnacentral:lncRNA from 1 species
CUACCACCUGCCAGACCAGCCAUCUGAAGGUUCCUGGAUUGGAGGGCUCUACAGACAAGCAGAGUUCACCACCUCACAUGAAGUGCAGGGAGCAAGGAGUCUGUAACUUAGUCUGCUAGAGCCAAAACUCCAGAAGCAGGGACCCCAGUGCAUGGACAAGACCUGCCUUUGCUAUGUGGUUCACAGGCCUCAGCAGAGACAUCAGAGACUGCUGACUAGCUGGUCCCUAAGACGGAUAGUCACUCUGCAUCCACACCAGAUUCCGAGUUCUGAAAUCACUUUGACGGUGCAAGGCCUGUGGGUGCACCAGAGAACCCGACAACCUGCCAAAAUCCUCCGGGCUUCCGCAGAGCAGCCCAGAGGCUCCAAGGAAUGACAUCAUCCCUUCUCAACAAGUAGCUAGAGCAAGAAGAUGAUACUGUGAGCCCUGCCCUUGGGAAGCUUCCAGAGGAGCAACACCCAGGAGCAAAGAGGACCCAGGUACAAAGGCCAGGCUACCACACAGCACAGUGGAGAUGACAUCCACAGCAGUGAGAAUGGUGGUCCCCGUUCAGCCUCCGAGCUAAGCCGUUUGAUCCUUGAGGCUGUGGAGUAGGCAGGGUACUAGCUUCAGAGACCUAACACCACUCAUCCCCAGUGGUGGGCAAGAAUCCAAACAGAGGUCCACCAGGUCCAUGCACUUGCUCUUUCAUCUCAAUUCUUGGCCACCCUAAGUUCUAGGUAGGGGCUUGUCACUUCCCUUUCAGAAAAGCCUUGAGGGAUCCCCACUACCAAUAACAUAGCCCUUCCCGGUGAGGCUCCCCUCAAACCACAGCCGAGGAAGCAACCACUGUCUUCCACCCACACCGGCCACAUCUUAGGUUUCACCCUGGAGUUUCCCAAGUCUCCUCUGUGCUCCGAAUGAACCGCAUGCCCCAUUUUACAGAUAAGAAACCAGAGGGUUAAGAAUGUUAAGUAACUAGCCCAAGGUCACGCAGCUGGGAAACAAAUGAGCCUGGCUAGAACUCGGGUCAUUAGCAUGCCCAUUUGUGUUCCAGGCAAUUAGGGAAGGGGAAUUAACGACCCGUGCUGCUAAUGGUCCCAGGGAGAAAGGUUCCAGAGUUGACUAAGGCACCUGGGCCUUGAGAAAUGGAUGGGUCUGCACAGUCAGAGCAGGAAGAGUGAGAAGAAUAUAGAAAGUGCCGAAAGGGAGUUAGUGGUGGGCUUGUCCAAACUAGGCUUUGUCCCAAAUUGGGACACGGUAAGAGAAGCCAUAGAAUGGGAGUCACUCCGUGUGUCCCCCUAACUUGUUGCACAACAUUAAGUGAGCCCCUUCCCUCUUUUGAUGACUUUUCUAUAUAUAAAAGACUAAUUAAGCCUGGGUGGCUUCUUGGGUC